GGCCUCAUCGGCCGGAAGGGAUUCCUUCUGGUUGAUGAGGCUGUUCCACCUCAUCGAUUGGAAGGAAUUCCUUCCGGUUGAUGGGGUU
rnacentral:miRNA from 1 species